AGUGAACGCUGGCGGCGUGCCUAAUACAUGCAAGUCGAACGGAGUGGCGCACGGGUGAGUAAUAUAUAGCUAAUCUGCCCCUUGCUGGAGGACAACAGUUAGAAAUGACUGCUAAUACUCCAUAGCAAUGGAUGAGACUAUAUCGUAUCAGCUAGUCGGUGGGGUAACGGCCUACCGAGGCUAUGACGCGUAACUGGUCUGAGAGGAUGAUCAGUCACAUCUGAACUGAGACACGGUCCAAACUCCUAAGGGAGGCAGGCGUAGGGAAUAUUGCGCAAUGGGGGAACCCCUGACGAAGCAACGCAGCGUGGAGGAUGACACUUUUAGGAGCGUAAACUCCUGUUGUUAGGGAAGCGGUACCGAACGAAUAAGCACCGGCUAACUCCGUGCCAGCAGCCGCGGUAAUUC
rnacentral:rRNA from 1 species